rnacentral:rRNA from 1 species
AGUGAACGCUGGCGGUAGGCCUAACACAUGCAAGUCGAACGGCAGCACAGGAGAGCUUGCUCUCUGGGUGGCGAGUGGCGGACGGGUGAGGAAUACAUCGGAAUCUACUUUUUCGUGGGGGAUAACGUAGGGAAACUUACGCUAAUACCGCAUACGACCUGCGGGUGAAAGCAGGGGACCUUCGGGCCUUGCGCGAUUGAAUGAGCCGAUGUCGGAUUAGCUAGUUGGCGGGGUAAAGGCCCACCAAGGCGACGAUCCGUAGCUGGUCUGAGAGGAUGAUCAGCCACACUGGAACUGAGACACGGUCCAGACUCCUACGGGAGGCAGCAGUGGGGAAUAUUGGACAAUGGGCGCAAGCCUGAUCCAGCCAUACCGCGUGGGUGAAGAAGGCCUUCGGGUUGUAAAGCCCUUUUGUUGGGAAAGAAAUCCAGCUGGCUAAUACCCGGUUGGGAUGACGGUACCCAAAGAAUAGGCACCGGCUAACUUCGUGCCAGCCGCCGCAGUAA